rnacentral:tRNA from 1 species
UUUAGUGUUUACRAUAAUAAAAGCUUUGAACUUAUUAUUAGGAAUUUAUCCUUCGUAAAAU